rnacentral:tRNA from 1 species
GGAGCGAUGGUGUAGUUGGUUAUCACGUCUGUCUAACACUCACAGACGGUCCUCAGUUCGAACCUGGGUCGCUUCA